GGCCGGGGUGUGGUUUGUCCCCGACAGGUGCACCGCUGGGGCCUGGCGUGUGCAGAGGUGAGGAGCUCACGAGGGCGCCACCCUCUCCAGGGAACCUUGUCCCACGUGAGGUCCCAGGAGGGAGUCACCAGAGAGCGAGCCUGCCUCCCGCUGGCCCCCGUCUCCUGCUUCCUCUCACGGGUGGGUCCUGCCGAGUGAGGCUGUCGCCACGCCGCUGUGGUCCCCCGGUGCAGCCUCCGGAACCCCCUUCUUCCCACACUCGCAGCUCCAGGUCUUUGGUUGCAGCCUCCCAGACGCACCAAGCCUGGAGGGCUACAGCAGAUCUUUCUAGCAAACGUGACGUGAGGGUGGGGAAGCCUGGCCCCGAGGGGAGGGCUCUGUGGCGGGGUGGGGGCCGGGCCCUCUCCCUGCUCCCGACAGCCCCUUCCAUCUCGGGCGCCCACAGGCGCUGCUCCCUGAUGAGUCCAUGUGUCUCCAUCCAGAGGCGCGCCCGCGCUGGAGCAGGAACCGUGUUUUCUGGAAGGCGGCCUGGGCCCGCGGCUGACGGCAGCUUCGUCUUGUGGUUUAUUCUUCCUGCCUCGCUUAUGAAAUCAAUGUAUCUCCUUAUGAUAAUAAGUAAUCAAAAUUCAAUGAGCACAGUACUGAACUCUCCCAAUAAAACGCAGCGUCUGCAUCAGCAGAAACGUCGGGCACGCACGCCGGCGUUUGUUCUCUGCUCCCCCGGGACCCCGCCGGCUGCCAAGCGCCAGCCACGCUGCGGGCGCCGUGGCCGCCCGGCCCGGGGUAGCCCAUCGCGGCGGCUCGCUGGCUGGUUUCAUUUUGAUGGCUUCGGCUUUUGCUGGGCAACCCCAUAAAGAAGUCUCUUAAAAUGCAUCUUUGAAAUUCUGGCGCUGUCGCCACCAAUAACAGCCGUGGAAGGGAAAUUUCAAUAAGAUAACUCAAGAACAUUUAAUUUUCUGCUCCUUUGGAUUUGCUAUCUUAUUACAGCCAUUCAGUUAGCUAAUAAAUGUCCAAUCCUGUCC
rnacentral:lncRNA from 1 species